rnacentral:rRNA from 1 species
UACGGAGGGUGCUAGCGUUGUUCGGAAUCACUGGGCGUAAAGGGCGCGUAGGCGGUUUGUCAAGUUGGAAGUGAAAUCCCGGGGCUCAACCUCGGAACUGCUUUCAAAACUGGCUUACUAGAGUUAAGUAGAGGAUAGUGGAAUUCCUAGUGUAGAGGUGAAAUUCGUAGAUACUAGGAGGAACACCAGAAGCGAAGGCGACUAUCUGGGCUUUAACUGACGCUGAGGCGCGAAAGUGUGGGGAGCAAACAGG